rnacentral:lncRNA from 1 species
UAACUCCAUGCUUGGGUGUUGCUAAAAACAUGAGUUCAUGGAUUUGCAGAAAAUCAGUUCAAGGUUGAAGAAGAAGUACUUCAUGCGUGCUUCAAACCUUCAAGCCAAUAGGAUCACGCCAACGCUUUUUUUCAAAUUCAAUAGUCCUUGGCGCCUUUUUCAAAUAUUUCUUUUCUUUUAUUUUUCAUUUUUAUUUCCUUUAUUUCCGAUUUAAUUCUGAUUGAUUUUUAAUUCUUUUU